rnacentral:rRNA from 1 species
AGUGAACGCUGGCGGUAUGCCUAAUACAUGCAAGUCGAACGGCAGCACAAUAAGAUCUUUCUCUUACGGUUGGCGAGUGGCGGACGGGUGACGAAUACAUCGGAAUCUUCUUUUUCUUGGGUGAUAACGUAGGAAAACUUACACUAAUAGAUCAUAUAUUCUACCGGUUGGAUCAAUGGUUCUUGACGCCUUUCCCGAUUCUUUUAGCCGAUGUCGCAUUAGCUAGUUGGGUUGGUAAAGGCCCACCAAGGCGACGAUCCGUAGCUGAGCUGAGAGGAUGAUCGGCCACACUGGAACUGAGACACGGUCCAGACUCCUACGGGAGGCAGCAGUGGGGAAUAUUGGACAAUGGGCGAAAGCCUGAUGGAGCAACGCCGCGUGAGUGAAGAAGGCCUUCGGGUUGUAAAGCCCUUUUAUUGGGAAAGAAAAAAAGCAGAUUAAUACAUGGAUGUCUUGACGGUACCUAAAGAAAAAGCAACGGCUAACUUCGUG